GCCUGGGGGAAGGAGGCCUUGAGAUGUGCUGGAGGCUGGGCCUCUGUAGUGCUGGGCUGUGAAACCAUCCCCAGGUCCGUGAGCCAAGGUAAUGUGAGAUGGCAGCCAGGCUCAGCCCUCUCCCUAACCAUAGAGAGCCAGCCAUUGCAUUCCUCUGAGAUCCUACUCCACGGUAUGCCUGGCAGGAGAUAAACCACAAAACAUUUAUUUUUGUAGGUUUUGCUUAUAAAUCAAGGCAAAACAGUAGACAUAAUCAUGUAAAAAGACAGAAGAACACAGACAAGUCAGUUGCCUGUGUGGAUGGCCUUUGCUUCUGUCUUCACCGUGAAGCACAAAUGAAUCUAUCUGUGAAGAAGCCUAUGAAAAUGUGGGUUCAACAAGGGACAUAGACAGCAACAACCAAACGGAGAGCAACAGUUCCUGGCUCUGCCAUUCACUUGUUCUUUGAGGUCCUUCCAUCCUGACUGAACUAUGCUGAAACCUGCUUGUUGAGCUCAUAACCUUCUCUUGUAACUCCUGUGACUGUUCGUCCAUCAAGAUUUUGUUGUUUUGCUUUUGCAGUACUGAGGCAUGAGCUUGCACAUGCUAGGCAAGUGCUCCACUAAGCUAUACCCCAGCCCUUGUCUUUUUGAGACAGGAUCUCACUAUGUAGCCCAGGCUGGCCUAAAACCUGUGAUCCUCAUGCCAUUAGAAGUAGGGUCUUACUAUGUAGCUGGACCCGGAACUUGCUAUGGUGCCCAGCCUAACCUCUGCAUCCUGAGUGCUAGGAUUACACAUGUGUACACACAUGUAUCAGGUGGAAGGCAUGAAUCAUAAUGUUCUGUAGCACAGAAGGACAACUAUGUUUUCCAUAAAUAAACUGAAAAUGUCAAAAUAGCUAACAGAUGGAAUUUUGAACAUUUUUAGCACACACACAAAAUUAGUGUCUGAGGUGAGGUAUUUGCCAGACCAUGACAUGCUGUAUAAGUCUAGUGAAGAGUUACAGUGUGCCUUGUAAAUUCAUACAGCUACCAUGUGUUAGCUAAAAUAUAUUUUAGGCAGUUGUGGUGGCCCACACUUUUAAUCCCUGUACUGAGGGCAAGCAGAGGCAAUGGAGUUCCACAUCUGUGAGUUCUAGGCCAGUUUGGUUUACACAGCCAGUUCCAGGGCUGCCAGGGC
ensembl:lncRNA